rnacentral:misc_RNA from 1 species
UGAAAAAAAAAAGCAUGGUAUUGUUUAAAAAAUUAUGUUUUAAUAUUAUUUUGAUAUAAUUAUAAUAAUUCUAAUAAUUAAAUAGUUACAUAGGCUAAAAUUAAUUAAAAUUAAAGUGAUUAUAUUUAAUUGCAAAAGAGAGAAAGAAAAAAAAUAGAGAAUUAUCAAGAAUGGUGUCACUCCUUUAGAAUUAAAAUAAAAAAAAUAGUGCAUGCUCUUUGAUAAAAGAAAAUUAUUUUCAUGACUUGAGAGUAAAUGAAAUAAAAAAGUAAUUAAAUAAGGGAAAUAUAAAACAAAUAGGUAAAAUAAUGUAUCACUUUAAACACCUCAAAUUAAAAACUUAGUCCCCAUCCAAACUCUUAAAGAGUUGAAUUCACAAAAUCCAAUCAAUGGACAUAAGCAGGUGAGCACAAAUAUAAAAGAUAGAAACUUUUUUCAACAUUGCUAAGGGCAACAACAUUAAGAAUUUUUUUUUAAAUUAUAAGAUGCUCAUUCAAAGAUUAUAAAAAUUAUGUUUAAUUCAAUAUAGUCUAGAGUCCAAAUCAAAUAGCCCAUGCCAAGUGGUCUGAAUUAAAGCCUAGAAAAUUAGAAUAUUGGAGGCUAAAGUAUAAUGCCCACAAAAA